UCCCGUUCCUGUCGCUGGCUGAGUGUGA
rnacentral:piRNA from 1 species